GAAUAGCCCCGAUGGGAGCGGCAUCCCUUCUCGUUUUUUAACGAGAAGGAUAUAGCGGACAGCGGGACAACUU
rnacentral:sRNA from 1 species